AUCACGUGGUUUGACCUGAAGUGAAAGUGAAAGCUUUCACUCUCAUUUUCAGCUGCUGCAGCACCAACAGCACCAAAAGGAAACCACAAGACGGGGAAAACGAUGAACAGUGAGUGAGGAUCUCAACUCAUAUUAAUACAGAACUGACACUGAAUAAUUCCAUAUAAUUAUUCAUUUUCAUGCUGUUGUAUUUUUCAGAAAAAGCGAAGGUAAGAGCAACAAAAUGCACCUGCAUGAUGAAACGCCAAUGAAAUAUAAUAAAUAGUAACCUGAGGUAACAGAUGUAAACAAGCAGAGACACGACAUUGUUCUUUUUCCUCCAAUCACAUCUUACUUAAGAAACAAUUGUUGGCAUUAUUUCAUAUGGUAAUUGUCCCUUUGUUGUUUAACUGUGUAUUUAGUAUGUCCGAACAGGUGAAACCUUUGGGGCAGAUGAAGCUUUCAAGAAACUAGUGAAGAAGAAGCUCAAGAAUCAUAUCAGCAAGAAAUAUAAAGGCCACAUUGUUUAUUGUCCCAUCACGUCCCGUGUUGGCUCAGAUGUGGAAGCAGCUUUGGACCAAGUGAAAGAUGCGAAACGCAUCAUCCUGGUUUUGAUGCACCACACCCGAGAUCCUGACUACUCAACUGCUGGGACAAAUUGGUCUCAAACAAAGAACAAAAUUGAGUUGGAUGUUCAUGUUCUGUUUCAUGAAACUGUGCCAGGAUUACUAACCUGCUCACAAAAUGACAAGGCAGCGGAUCAAGUUGUUCAAUUUUUAAAUCAAAAAAAACAAAAUGAACAGAGUAAACAAGGUUUGCAAAAAAUAGAAAAAUAAGAUGGAGAAAACUAAAUCAGAAGCAAAAACAUCAUCAGUCUGAGUAAUUAAUCUAUAUAAUGUGUUUCACAUCUAAUUUAUCAAAUCAGUGACUCUUGAGAAGAGGGACAAAAUAGAUAAAAAAUAAAAUUUAAAUAAAAUAUACACAAAAUAAUCUUUUUUCAAAUAUCUGACUUAACUAACCCGGGCCAUGUUGGCACAACAAUGUGUGUUUCCCUUGUUUGCUUUACAUUUUUUAUUUUAAACUUUGUAGUAGGUGGAUGAUGUCUUUAAAAUCCCUUGUCCUGGAGCAAAACUCAAUCCAUAAUAGUAGUUUAAAACAAAUAAAGGAACAUUGAGAUAAUACAUUAUGACAAUUAAGUAUAAGUAUCCAAGUAAAUAAUUAUAAAAUUCUCAAUAAAUUGAAUUAAAAAUCAUUUUUAUAUACUUUCCAGCUCAAGUGAAAUUUGUCCCGUGUUUUUGUCAACACAAAAACUCAGACAUAAAAACAGUUUAUGAAACUUUGGUGAAACUGUGUGAAAUAAAUGCUUAAUUUUAAUGUACUGUAAAGACUUGAUGGACCUGAUGAGCUGCAAUAUGGCCGCCUUCAGAAUAACGUCUUAUAUAAAUUAAGGUAGUUUUACAUUUCAUUAACUCCGUCAUAGUUUGAAACUAAGUGUCUCUUUCUGUGAUAGUGUUUACAAAUCUCAUUUCAGUGUGCUGUUAAUUUGUUUUAAUGUAGUUUGCAUAAACGGCAUUACUUCACAUGUAUAAAGUAUUUCUUUGUACUCACUGGUUUCUCGCCACCUUCAGACCUGCGUCAACUCCGUCACAUGGACUUUAUGUUGUUUUUUUGUUUCAAAUCAUGUUUCUUUUGUUUCUCGAGAAGCGUUUGUCUGUAAACUGAUCGAUAAAUUUGCACCGAUUUAUUGAUCGAAUAAAAGAAUAUCAUACCAAACCUA